rnacentral:lncRNA from 1 species
GUUAGGGGAGGAAAAUGCUCCCUAUCAGCACUGCUGAGGAAUGAAGGCAAAUGAGAAAGGGAAAAGAAGGGAGAAGCAAGACUGAGUGCAUAGUGCAGGAGUCUGAUCUAAUACAGAUCUAGAAAAGAAAGUGCAAUAUAAGAAGGAAGUGUAUUAGAAAGAUAAUAAAAUAUAUUGUAAGGAAAGAAAUAGGGUAAAUAUAGAAAAUAUGAACAAUGUUUGGAAAAGCAAGUACCAUACGUUGGAGAUGGAAGAGAUGCCAAGCCCUAUGGAAAGAACAAGAACUGUGCGGCUUCACUCACGUUGCUGUGGGACAGAAUGCGUUCAGUCACAUCAUAUCUCACUGCGUAACCGAAGACAUUAAAAUAAACCAUCAAUUCAUCUUCCUUAAGAAAUAUAAGAUGACAUCAUGGCUAUUAUUUAUUUAUUGA